AUGUUACUAUUACGGGAUCCCGAGCUUGAGUCGGUGCCAGUGUUUGAGCCUGAACUCGAGGCUCAAACUAAAGGAACGAAAUAUCAACUUGACCUUGAGAGCAAUAACUGUUUUUAUAAUGACUUAAUUAUGGCGAUUAGUGUUUCCUCUGAGCUGCGUGAACGAUUUUUUAGCAUGAAGAAAGCGAUGCCACUUUUCUGGUUCUUGUUCAUGUUCAAGGAAAGAUCUCUCGCGCGUUCAUGGUUUCGUCUCUAA